UGUCUCUAAAGCUAAUUUAGCACUUGUUGUUGUUUGUGUCAUGUUUGUGUUGUUGGACAGUCAGUCAUGCUCACCUGUCCAGCAGGCUUCCUGCUGCUCUGCACACCUGUUCCCAAUCAUCUCAUCAGCCUGUGACCUGUUCCCGUGCCGGCCUCCCCAGCUGCACCUCAUCAGCUAACGAGUCUCCCAGCACUCAGCUGCUCCUUCAGCAACACACAGAAACUGUUCCAGCUGACAGCGUGGAGGGAGCUGUGGACCUGGUGAACUGUGACAGAGAACUGAACUGACCCUCGUCUUUCAGAAACACAACAGCUCCAUUAUGCUAAAGCUACAUCAGCUGUUCCACCACAAAGCUUCACCGCCACUGGAGAGGUCGUCAUUAUGUACAGAAGCUCCGGGAGGUCUGUGUUGUAUAAAGAGAGGGGAGAAGUGUGAGUCUCUGGGUAUUAACCCAUUAUUAAUGGUGACUGGUGCCUGGCAGCACGACGCAGCACGACUGAUUCUGAGAGAGAGAGGCAUCUGUCAGACAACACAGAAUGGAGGAAAUGUCAGAAGAUGAGCUCUGUAAUCAGGCAUCCCAUCCUGAUGCAUGUCAUAUAUGUAUUGGACAGACAGAUGGAGCGCAGAACCACUUCCUGUCCCGUCCUUCCUGACAGCAGUAAGAUUAUUUUCAAAUGGAACUUUAAGAUCUUAUUUGGAUGUCACAGUAACAGACAGCCAGUGAAGUUGCUGGAAAUCAGUCAAUUUACCAACAGAUGAGAAAGAUGACACCACAGAAUGGACUCUCAAGGUGCAAGAAAUCCAUCUGUCCAUCCAGACAUCCUCAUAUCCAGUACAUUGUAUUACUGUAAUUUCAAAUGCAUGAGAAAAAAGUCAAGAAACCACGUUCAGCCAUCUGAUGAGCCACAUCAAGUGUCUCCAAACGCAUUUGCAGUCUCGGCAAUACCAUAGGCCUGUACUAUUCCAAAACAACACACCAGGAAACAUGGACUAACACAGUUUAAAUCCAUCUCAGAAUGAAGAUUGAGUUCUGGCCCAAAGGGGGUACCUACAGCAUCAAGUGUAGGAGAGGGGCUCUGUACAAUGACUUCAACCUUUCAUCACUGUCUAAUUAGAGAGCAUUCAGUGGACCUCUAAUCUCAUUCUAAAGCCUCUUUCUUAUUGGACUGCAUUAAGAAGUAGAUGUGACGGUGGCUGGUGAGAAACAGCUAACCUACAGGGAACAUUUACUGAGAGGUAGGAAUGAGAAAGACAGAGGGUGAACCAGAUAAACUAAAGAAAGUGACAGGAGGGAGAUAUCUUUUAGACCCCAGGGCUCCAUCUUUGUAGUUCCAUGGUGUGCGAUUGCCUGAGGGAAGGCAGCCACUGUGUCAGUAAUAAAAAGGUGGAGACACUUGGCUGAAGAGAGGAGAGCAGAGUCACUUUGGAUUUCUCUGUGUGUUACUGUCAAUAUCUGCACUUGCAACUCGUCAACGUGCUAAAUAGUAUAGAAAAGGAGGAACAUGGAUCAUCAAAAUGAAUCAGAACCAAGUGAAGAAGGAAGGCAGUGUAGAGAUGUCAUGUGCUUUCAGUCACUUUGGAAAAUCUGCUUGAGAUGAAGAUUUUAAAUCCAACACGAUAGAUCCUUCUUACAGUAAAGGAGUGCAGAUCUUUUUAUUUCAUUUCACACACAAACUGUCUGUAACAUUUUGAAAAACCUCCUAAAUAACUAAGAGAACAGAUAAUAACAACUAGGUUAUCCAUAAAACUUUGUUUUAUAUUGUCAUAAAAUGAUCUUAUUAAUUUGCUUAAAUGUUUUUGCAUAUCUUAAAAUGUUUACUUUAUUGCUGCUAACAUUUUGUUGGCAAAACAACGAGAGACGAGAACAGUUUCUUUCCACAGGUCAUCACUGAUGAACAGUUAACAUCAGUCACAUGGUGUCAAUAACCCCGCAGCACUAACACCCAGUGUACCUACAGAAUAUACAUGAUAUAUGUUGGAGUUUAAAUACACACACAGGCGUAUAGCUAACCCCACAGUGAGCCAACGGGUUAGUGAUUCUUUAAACUCUACAACUUUGCACAAUUAUUGUUUACAAAUGUAAUGGUAAUAUAUAAAUAUUAUGUUCAUAUGACUUAAAUGUUCAUGUUUACCUUGUUCAGCGUUGUUGUCCUUGUUCUUGGCUAAAUGUCUAUUUCUGUCUGUACACGGAGAGCAACUGAAAACCAGAGUCAAAGUCCA
ensembl:lncRNA